CUUCCUAUAUUCAUUUUACUAGAGGUAGUGAUUCAAAAAGUUAAUUUAACAUUUUGACUUUUUGAAUUAUUAUCUUUGAUAAAUGAUUGAAAGACAUCA
rnacentral:pre_miRNA from 1 species